rnacentral:rRNA from 1 species
ACGAGUUUGAUCCUGGCUCAGAUUGAACGCUGGCGGCAUGCUUUACACAUGCAAGUCGAACGGUAACAGGGACUUCGGUCUGCUGACGAGUGGCGAACGGGUGAGUAACAUAUCGGAACGUGCCCAGUAAUGGGGGAUAGCUCGGCGAAAGCCGGAUUAAUACCGCAUACGCCCUGAGGGGGAAAGUGGGGGAUCUUCGGACCUCACGUUAUUGGAGCGGCCGAUAUCGGAUUAGCUAGUUGGUGGGGUAAAGGCCUACCAAGGCGACGAUCCGUAGCUGGUCUGAGAGGAUGAUCAGCCACACUGGGACUGAGACACGGCCCAGACUCCUACGGGAGGCAGCAGUGGGGAAUUUUGGACAAUGGGCGAAAGCCUGAUCCAGCCAUGCCGCGUGAGUGAAGAAGGCCUUCGGGUUGUAAAGCUCUUUCAGGUGGAAAGAAAGCGGAUGGGCUAAUACCCUGUUCGGAUGACGGUACCACCAGAAGAAGCACCGGCUAACUACGUG